rnacentral:rRNA from 1 species
AUUGAACGCUGGCGGCAGGCCUAACACAUGCAAGUCGAGCGGUAGCACAGAGAGCUUGCUCUCGGGUGACGAGCGGCGGACGGGUGAGUAACGUCUGGGAAACUGCCUGAUGGGGGGGGAUAACUACUGGAAACGGUAGCUAAUACCGCAUAACGUCGCAAGACCAAAGUGGGGGACCUACCGGCCUCAUGCUAUCAGAUGUCCCCGGAUGGGAUUAGCUAGUAGGUGGGGGAACGGCGACGCUAGGCACCGUUCCCUAGCUGGUCUGAGGGGAUGACCAGCCACACUGGACACGAGACACGGUCCAGCGUCGCACGGGAGGCAGCAGUGGGGAAUAUUGCACAAUGGGCGCAAGCCUGAUGCAGCCAUGCCGCGUGUGUGAAGAAGGCCUUCGGGUUGUAAAGCACUUUCAGCGGGGAGGAAGGCGGUGAGGUUAAUAACCUCAUCGAUUGACGUUACCCGCAGAAGAAGCACCGGCUAACUCCGUGCCAGCAGCCGCCGCCGUAA